rnacentral:rRNA from 1 species
AGUGAACGCUGGCGGUAGGCCUAACACAUGCAAGUCGAACGGCAGCACAGUAAGAGCUUGCUCUUACGGGUGGCGAGUGGCGGACGGGUGAGGAAUACAUCGGAAUCUACUUUUUCGUGGGGGAUAAGGUAGGGAAACUUACGCUAAUACCGCAUACGCCCUACGGGUGAAAGCAGGGGAUCUUCGGACCUUGCGCGAUUGAAUGAGCCGAUGUCGGAUUAGCUAGUUGGCGGGGUAAAGGCCCACCAAGGCGACGAUCCGUAGCUGGUCUGAGAGGAUGAUCAGCCACACUGGAACUGAGACACGGUCCAGACUCCUACGGGAGGCAGCAGUGGGGAAUAUUGGACAAUGGGCGCAAGCCUGAUCCAGCCAUACCGCGUGGGUGAAGAAGGCCUUCGGGUUGUAAAGCCCUUUUGUUGGGAAAGAAAAGCAGCAGGUUAAUACCCCGCUGUUCUGACGGUACCCAAAGAAUAAGCACCGGCUAACUUCGUG